UACGUAGGCAGCGAGCGUUGUUCGGAGUUACUGGGCGUAAAGGGUGUGUAGGCGGUUGUUUAAGUUUGGUGUGAAAUCUCCCGGCUCAACCGGGAGGGUGCGCCGAAUACUGAAUGGCUCGAGUGCGGGAGAGGAGAGUGGAAUUCCUGGUGUAGCGGUGAAAUGCGUAGAUAUCAGGAGGAACACCGGUGGUGUAGACGGCUCUCUGGACCGUAACUGACGCUGAGACACGAAAGCGUGGGUAGCAAACAGG
rnacentral:rRNA from 1 species